rnacentral:lncRNA from 10 species
GGCACAAUGUGGCUCUGUGAUCACGCAUCGGGCAGCCCUGGUCUGUCCUUUGCAGGGGACAUGGGCUGUGACCCUGCCUGGAGAUCCCAUUCCAGUUUCUCCAUCCAGACCAUCUGUGGGGCCCAGCUCAUCAGAUAUUAGGUGUGACUGGAUCUCAGCCCUUGGGAAGCCCUGGUGUGGGGAGAAGACCUCUGGGCAAAGGAAGUGGCAGGAGACCUGCUUUCUCAUUUCACUUGGCCUCCAUCUUGCUGGAGGAAGAUCGUGGGCAAGUUAUAUAAUCUCUCUGAGCCUCGGUUUUCUAUCUGCAAAAUGGGGCAAGAAUGGUCAGGGUUGUUGGAGGCCCCUGAGACAGCCUGUGAAUGUAAAGUGCUGUGUGUCCGUUGGUGUUUGCAGCACCAUCUUGUCAGGUUUCUCCUGGAAGGCCCAGACCUCCCCCAGCAGGUUACUGAUAGGACCUGAGUCCUAGAGCCUGUGAUGCAGGCUGAGAGGAACUGUGACAUCACUCCAGCCUCUCCCCAUGCCACCAUCUCACAGAUGAAGAGACUGAAGAGCACAGAGGGACUUUGCCCAGAGGCUGUCAUCUCUCAGGGAGUUAGAAGAAAGGCUGGACCUAGAACCCAGUCUCUGGACUUGGGAUGCAGGGCAGAAAUGUACCCUGUACCAUCACUCCAGGAAACUCCCUAACACUAGAAACCAGGCUGACAUCUCUGUUUACCAGAUCAGGGAGUGGUCGGCCUCAUGCCUUUCACUUCAGAGAAGAUUCUGGAGCCAGAAAACCUCAAAUCUAAGGGUCAGGCAGGUUCAAAUCCAGCUGCCUGACCCUGGAUGAGUUAUGAUACAUCACCUCCCCACACAUCAGUUUCUGAUUGAAGAUAAUGAUAGAAUAUGCCAUCGCCCUGAGUUAUGGCAGGGGUUACUGUGUGGCAAGCAGAAUAACGCUCCCCAAAGAUGUCCACAGCCUCAUCCCUGGAACCUGUGGCUUUGCUACCUUCCAUGGCAAAAAAAGAUUUUGCUAGUGUGAUUAAGGACCUGGAGAUGGGGUGGUUGGCCUGGAUUCUCCAGGUGGGCCCAUUGUCAUCACAGGGGUCCUUAAUUAUACAAGAGGGAGGCAGUGGCCUCAGAGUCAGAGAAAGAGAUGUGAGGAUGGCAGUGGAGAUCAGACUCGUGACUGCUGGAAGGGGGCCAUGAGCUGAGGGACAUGAGCAACCCUUCCCUAGAAGCUGGAGAAGGCAAAGGAUUUUUCCCUGCAGCCUCCAGGAGCACAGCUCUGCUGCCACCAUGAUUUUAGCCCAGUAUGACCCAUUUUGGACUUCUGUCCUCCAUAACUGUAAGAUAAUAAAUUUGUAUCGUUUUAAGCAUGAACUUUGAACAUAUAUGCAAAACUGUUAGAAAGGUACCUAGCACUUAGUAAACAGUAACUAUUCUGUUUUCUAGAAUCCCAGUUUCUGGUAAUGUAUUCCCUUAUUCCCACUACACUUGCUUUAUCAGAUCUGAGACCUCAGCUUCUGCAGCAGGCAUGAAGGCAGCAGUCCCACAUCUCUCUGCUUGUCCUUGACUUGCAGUUGCUGAGAUAUGGAACAUCUUUUCUAGGACUGAAGUGGCCCCAGAUGUCUAUGGGACUGUGUAGACAGGGAGGUGGCCUUGGUGAGCCAUCAGCCUGGGCUGCCUACUUGACCAUCCCAGCUGUCUGUAGCUUUAGAAAGUGGGAAGGUGGCUGGUCCCCUGCUGGGACAGCUCACAGGUGUCUCG